rnacentral:rRNA from 1 species
CUACGGGUUGCUGCAGUGAGGAAUAUUGCACAAUGGGGGGAACCCUGAUGCAGCAACGCCGCGUGGAGGAUGACGCAUUUCGGUGUGUAAACUCCUUUUAUAUGUCAAGAAAAUGACGGUAGCAUAUGAAUAAGCACCGGCUAACUCCGUGCCAGCAGCCGCGGUAAUACGGGAGGGUGCAAGCGUUACUCGGAAUUACUGGGCGUAAAGGACGCGUAGGCGGGUUGGAAAGUCAGGUGUGAAAUCCUACAGCUUAACUGUAGAACUGCACUUGAAACUUCUAAUCUAGAGUAUGGGAGGGGGAGAUGGAAUUAGUGGUGUAGGGGUAAAAUCCGUAGAUAUCACUAGGAAUACCUAAAGCGAAGGCGAUCUCCUGGAACAUUACUGACGCUAAGGCGUGAAAGCGUGGGGAGCAAACAGGAUUAGAUACCCGUGUAGUC